CUGGAGAAGUCAAUGCCAAAGAGUACCUAGAGUGGCAGUUUUUCUUUAAGAACCAAUGAAGGUUCAAAAAGGGCUUGGUUAACCAAACGUUGCCUUUUACCGUAGGUGCUUAUGAAAUAUUUAUGCUGAAGGACCGCAUUCAGAUGACUGCCGCCCUGAAUGGUGCAUGUUUUCGUAAUUGUUUUUCUCAAAGUGGCUACUGUUAAAGCAGGAACCACAUUUGAUCACAUUAUAUUAAGCCAGGAGUAUUUAAAUGCCAUUCUUUAACUGCAUACAGGCUGCAACUCCCAUUAACCAUUGGGAGCCAAGUCAGCAGGUAAAUGUCAAAGGUUUGUGGGAAUUGUAGGCUGUUAACACCUGUGGCUCAAGAAAUGUAAAUAAAGGUCCAAUUACAUUAGUUUCUAACCCCCUUCUCAACAUCAGUGCUCUCUUGGGAUGUGAUUUAUAACUACUGCAGUCACGGGAUGUGGUUUUCUAUGCAUGUCCCUGUUGGUGCCCCCCAGUUCCCUGCCUGUCAUUGAAAAGUGCAGUUUGGAAAUGGGCAUCUGACCUCCCACCCCCACACUACCAUGGCCGCAUACUUUUCCUGUGGACACAUUCCAGCGUACAAGGGCCAGCUUUGUCUCAGUUCAGACACAUUGCGGGCUGAUUUUGCACAUUUAAUCAUUGCCUGGGGUACUGCGAGGGUCACCCUGGCAGUAAAAAUAUUUUUAUAUACAUAUUGUCUCCAUGUGAGAUAUACUAAGUCAUAUUUAUAAUAUAUACAUCGCACUCUCAUAAAUAUUUAUAAUAAAAAUGUAAAAAUAAAAACCUGCCAAGUAUUAUUGAUUUAUAUGGAGCCAAUAAUAUACACUUACAAAAAUCUCCCUGAAAUGAAUGCUAUAUAGAAUGUGGUGCCACUUUGUAUCCUCUCUCUGUUGCUUAUAGCAUAGCUGCAAUGAUUUGCAAGUACCAUUGCAACUAGCCACUAAAAUAUGCCACUUGAGGUACCUCUUAUUUAAUUCUAGCUGUGCGACAUUUACGUUUAUGGCAUUGAUCACAGUGUUAUCAAUGUUUGAAUUUUGGAUACUCAAACAGACAUAAAUGUUCACUGUCCCGAUAUAACCAGAUGCCAAAAGUAUGGACUAUUUGUUUGCUGAUGGAAAAAAAAAAUAUCCAGUCACACCUGAGGUUUCUUCUAAAAGGCAGUCUUUAUUUGAAACAAGGAAGUGGAGACAACGUUUCGGCUCCUCUAUGAGCCUUUAUUAACCCCUUAAGGACGGCGGGCUUUCUAUGCCGUCCUUGGGGACCCGGCUCUAAACGCCGGCGGGUGGCAUAGAACGCCCAAGCCGUCCUAUGUACUUAUCCGGUCGCAUAGCCGUCCCUAGCAAUGCCAGCAGGGGGAGUGCCUGGAAUGAAAGGGACUGCUGCCUGUUAAAAAUAAUAAACGUUUAAAAUUAAAUUACAUAUACU